ACGCCUGGGGGGGAAACCCACGACCAGUGCAACAGAGAGCAAACCGCCGAUGGCCCACGUAAGUGGGAUCAGGUAAGGGUGAAAGGGUGCGGUAAGAGCGCACCGCGCGGCUGGUAACAGUCCGUGGCACGGUAAACUCCACCCGGAGCAAGGCCAAAUAGGGGUUCAUAAGGUACGGCCCGUACUGAACCCGGGUAGGCUGCUUGAGCCAGUGAGCGAUUGCUGGCCUAGAUGAAUGACUGUCCACGACAGAACCCGGCUUAUCGGUCAGUUUCACCU
rnacentral:RNase_P_RNA from 1 species